rnacentral:rRNA from 1 species
UACGUAGGGUGCGAGCGUUAAUCGGAAUUACUGGGCGUAAAGUGUGCGCAGGCGGCCGCGCAAGUCGAGUGUGAAAGCCCCGAGCUUAACUUGGGAACUGCGCUCGAAACUACGUGGCUGGAGUGUGGCAGAGGAAGGUGGAAUUCCACGUGUAGCGGUGAAAUGCUUAGAGAUGACAUAGAACACCUAUUGCGAAGGCAGCUUACUACGCAGAUAUUGACGCUCAUGCACGAAAGCGUGGGGAUCAAACAGG